GCGAGCCUGCAGGGUGAGCAGUGUCUGACUACGGAUCAGGAAGCCGCAGGUUCGAAUCCUGCCGGGCGCGCCA
rnacentral:tRNA from 1 species